CCUACGGGUGGCUGCAGUAGGGAAUCUUCCGCAAUGGACGAAAGUCUGACGGAGCAACGCCGCGUGAGCGAAGAAGGCCUUCGGGUCGUAAAGCUCUGUUGUUAGGGAAGAACAAGUAACGCAGUAACUGGCGUUACCGUGACGGUACCUAACGAGAAAGCCACGGCUAACUACGUGCCAGCAGCCGCGGUAAUACGUAGGUGGCAAGCGUUGUCCGGAAUUAUUGGGCGUAAAGCGCGCGCAGGCGGGUCCUUAAGUCUGAUGUGAAAGCCCACGGCUCAACCGUGGAGGGGCCUUGGCAACUGGGGGACUUGAGGGCAGAAGAGGGGAGCGGAAUUCCACUGGUAGCGGUGGAAUGCGUAGAGAUGUGGAGGAACACCAGUGGCGAGGGCGGCUCGAUGGUCUGUAACUGACGCUGAGGCGCGAAAGCGUGGGGAGCAAACAGGAUUAGAUACCCUUGUAGUC
rnacentral:rRNA from 1 species